rnacentral:lncRNA from 1 species
CUUGAGUCAUCCAUGUUCCUGUAAGGAACCUGUCACGCAUACUCCUGCUGAACUGCGCCUCUUCUAUGACCAAAGUCAUAUAUUGACGUUGACGUCCUGCCUCCAGCUGCCUUUAGAGUGUGACCUCCUUGGAAGUGUUUUAUUUUCCCCCAGAGGGACAGACCAUAAUUCAACAUGACUGGGGGUAAGGUCUCCCAUGGGAGUCAACAAAGCAUGGCAUACCAAGUUGCUGCAGGACCAAGCCCCUCCCCACUGCAUCAAGGCUGAGCAGGGUAUCCAUCCCACCACAGGGAAUGGGUGGUAUCCAUCCUACCACAGGACUCCAAAA